CACACACACACACACACACACACACACACACACACACACACACACUUUGCAGCACAUGCAUAUUUAACACACUCACAUCACUCAGGCAAUGAUCCUCGUCCUCCGCUAGCCCUCGCUCAGCAUCGCCUCCAGCCGUCCGAUUGCCUCACAAACAUUUCCUCAGUGUGUCUUUUGACAAAAAUGAGACACACAACGACAGAAACGAGACACAAAAUGACAAAAACGAGACAGAAAAUGACAACUGAGACAAAAUGACAAAAAUGAGACACAAAAUGACAAAAACAAGACAGAAAACACCAAAAACAAGACAUAAAACGACAAAAGCAAAACAGAAAACAACAAAAACAAGACACAAAAUGACAAAAGCGAGACAGAAAACACUAAAAACAAGACACAUGACAAAAACAAGACACAAAAUGACAAAAACGAGAAAGAAAAUGACAAAAACGAGACAAUAUGAUAAAAACAAGACAAAACAAUAAAAACAAGACAUAAAACGACAAAAACGAGACAUGACAAAACAAAACACAAAAUGACAGAAAUGGGACAGACAAUGACAAAAACAAACCACAAAAAGACAAAAACGAGACACAUAAUGACAAAAACGAGACACAAAAUGACAAAAACGGGACACAAAAAGACAAAAACGAGACACAAAAUAACAAAAACGAGACACAAAACGACAAAAAUGAGACACAAAACAACUCAUUCCUUCAGAGUGUCUUUUGUGAGGUCCUGUCGCUGUUGUCCGUCACACUUAACCUCCUGAUUUGUCCGAUUCUCCCGAGCCGAGCCAGUCCGGUCCGUCCGGUCCGGCGCCCACCAUCCCCUCUCCUGAUUGACCCGUGACCUGGGAGCCAACACGUGUGCCGCUCCAGAAUUCAAACAGGGUCCUCAUUGGCUGAAAAUCGGCCGUGAAUUAUAUCAAGGAAAUUACAGGAGUGCCACACGUGGCCCUCGACAGGUCCUGGAUCUCCUCCUCCUCCACCACCAGGGCGGCGGCGGCGGCCCACAGGAACCAGUGUGAGGCGCUCCGGUAACCCUGCCAACUCCACAGGCCUACUUGUGGAUUGCUAGGCAGGUUGCUAGGAAACAAAAGGCUAACGCUUAGGGAGGACGACAUGAAUGGAGAUAAAAUCGCCAGAAUAUUCCAGGUAAGUAGCACUUUUUUCGUUUGUUUGGAGAACAUGCUAAGACCAAAGGAUGCUAUGCAUAACACACGAAUAGCCGACUGAUUAAGGCUCCUUAAUGUUUUCUUUCCAAGGUAUAUGCUCCGAGCCUGUACAUAACCGAUGAUGACAAUGUGGCCAUAUUCCCUGGUUGGGCUGGACAUUUCAGCUGCUUGGACCUUAAACCUCGUGGCCACUAUGAGGUUCAUGGGGAUGAUAUUGCUCUACCAGUCGCCGAGCAGACUCCUCCAUUGUCAGGCCAGAACCGUUUCCAGUUCCACCGUUCAGCACAGCCCGCUGCUGCUCUAGGGUCACCUGCUCAGGCCAUUGCUCCCACUCCCCCCCGAGCAAGCAUGAGUAACACCUUCCAAAGGUCUGUUUUCAUUGCUGAGCUCAGCCAGGGGAAACUGAAGCCUGCCCGCAUGGUUGUACUCAGACUGUUUGAGUUUGAAGCCACAACCACAGGUAUCCUUGCAAAACUACAUGAUGCCCUGCAGAGUGAUGACCCUCUCAUCCUGACUGAUGCCCAGGGAAAUGAGAUUGUGGACUCCGAAGGGACAAGAGGUACUAAUUGAAAUCAUUAAUAAUUGCAUAAUAAUAAAUAAAAAUGCUUUGUUUGUUAAACUACGUGCCCCAUCUACUUCAAUACUGUGCUCUCUUUGUCUUGUAAUUUUUUUGACCCACAAAGUAUUCUGUUCAGCUGUAAAUGUGUUUACAUUAUAUCUGUUACAUGAUUUGUCUUCCUCUCUUGCUAGGAUCCAAGUACUGGAAGCAAAAUGCAAAAAAGUUUCUUGCUGUCCCAGAGCAGAUCUUCCAUGAGUUCCAGCAAGGAACAAAGGGAAAGAAACUGAACCAUAAAGAUAUGGACUCCACAAGUCUUCAGGGGGUCUAUGAUAAAAUAGAAGAAGUGAUCUUGGCUGCUCAAGGACUGAAUGAAGUCACCAGAGUCAUGAAGGACCUGUCAACACAUGCCAGCAACACCAGGGGUGCCAUGCUGGUUCUGACCAACACCAUGAUAACACACAUGAAGGAUGCCUUUGGUUGUAUUGUAUACAAAGGGCUAUUGGAAGAGCCUGUGAUUGCCAUAUGCUGCAAAAGCUUUGUUGGCUGCAAAAACUGCGUUGACCAGUGGAUGCUGACAUCCGACCAGUGCCUCAAAUGCAGGGCAGAUGAGUUCUCUGUCAAUGUUCACAGGCUGACCAGUCUUGACAAUCUUCUCUCCAUACUGGCUGGUGUAAUUAAGAUGGAUUAACCCUUUAAGUGUGAUUGUAUCACAUUCUGAUUUAAGCUUGAUCUGGCUAAUUGCCUUGUUCUAAAGUCAGUUGGAAUUUUGCACUUGUUCAAUAACUGUAGAGGAUACAGAAUAGUUUUAUUUUUAUACAUUUUUUUUGUAUUUCAUGUUGCACUUAGACCAAUAUUGCUAUUAUAGCAAUUUUAGCAAGUGUUCAAUUUUAUUUAUUAAAGGAAAGUAACAGAAUAUCUACUAUAUCCAGAAACAACUGGUCUUUAUUUGACAUGUUCAUGCAUAUUGCUGUGUAAUGUUCAUCAGAUACAGCAAUGCAUCUUGAAAAGGUACGAAGUUAUAGUUUACCACAUUAUCUAGUAAAACUGAAAUAUCAGGGUACUGUUCAGCCAAAAGUUGUUCUGCUGAUAUUUUGUCCUCCUCAGUUGAGAAUGGGUCAGUUCCAAAGCAGGAGACUGGAGUUAGUGAAGAGCCAACAUCCUGCUGGUACAUGUCUGCUGCUUGGGAGGCAUGAGGCAACAACUCCUCUCCCAGUUUCUUUGGACGUCCUCCUGCUGCUAAACAAGUGGGUGUUCCUUUGCCUGUGAAGCAAAGCAUAGGUCACAAAAUGUCAUUUUUGUUAAACUUCACUGUCAACAUUUGAAUAAAAAAAGGUUCACAAAAAAGGACUGGAUUGUAUGAUGCAUAUUUUUUUAACUCACCUGGGAUUCUGUGUGCAUUCCAUGCAUGUACAGCUCUUGUUAUGC
ensembl:lncRNA